AAUGGACGUUGGCGGCGUGGAUUAGGCAUGCAAGUCGAGCGAUAAGCUUUUGAUUGAUCUUUCGAGUGAAGUCACAGGUGGACAGCGGCGAAAGGGAGAGUAACGCGUAGAUCACGUACCCUGGGGUUCGGGAUAGCGGGGGGAAACCGCCGGUAAUACCGAAUAAUGUCUCCGGACCAAAAAUUUAUUGCCCUGGGAGCGGUCUGCGUCCUAUUAGUUUGUUGGUGGGGUAAAAGCCUACCAAGGCUAAGAUGGGUAGCGGGUGUGAGAGCAUGGCCCGUCUCACUGGGACUGAGACACUGCCCAGACGUCUACGGACGGCUGCAGUCGAGAAUCUUCCGCAAUGGACGAAAGUCUGACGGAGCGACGCCGCGUGCGGGAUGAAGGCCUUCGGGUUGUAAACCGCUGUCAGAGGGGAGCAAAUUUUGAGCGAUCCUCAAAGGAAGCACAGGCUAAGUUCGUGCCAGCAGCCGCGGUAAUACGAACUGUGCGAACGUUAUUCGGAAUCACUGGGCUUAAAGGGUGCGUAGGCGGCUAUGAAGGUCAGAUGUGAAAUCCCACGGCUCAACCGUGGAACUGCGUUUGAAACCGCAUGGCUUGAGGAAGUCAGAGGUAAGCGGAACUGAUGGUGAAGCGGUGAAAUGCGUUGAUAUUAUCAGGAACACCGGUGGCGAAAGCGGCUUACUGGGACUUUUCUGACGCUGAGGCACGAAAGCUAGGGGAGCGAACGGGAUUAGAUACCCCGGUAGUCCUAGCUGUAAACGAUCUGUACUAGUCCGUGGGGACUUCCACAUCCUCUCGGACGUAGCGAAAGUGUUAAGUACAGCGCCUGGGGAGUAUGGUCGCAAGGCUGAAACUCAAAGGAAUUGACGGGGGCUCACACAAGCGGUGGAGGAUGUGGCUUAAUUCGAGGCUACGCGAAGAACCUUACCUAGACUUAACAUGCUUGGGAAUCUCUAUGAAAGUAGAGAGUGCCUUUCGGGGAGCCCUUGCGUAGGUGCUGCAUGGCUGUCGUCAGCUCGUGUCGUGAGAUGUCGGGUUAAGUCCCUUAACGAGCGAAACCCUUGUCACUAGUUGCCAGCGAGUCAUGUCGGGGACUCUAGUGAGACUGCCGGGUUAAACCGGAGGAAGGUGGGGAUGACGUCAAGUCCUCAUGGCCUUUAUGUCUAGGGCUGCACACGUCCUACAAUGCGGCGAACAAAGCGAUGCGAACUCGCGAGAGCAGC
rnacentral:rRNA from 1 species